rnacentral:rRNA from 1 species
AACGAACGCUGGCGGCAUGCCCAACACAUGCAAGUCGAACGAAGCCUUCGGGCUUAGUGGCGCACGGGUGCGUAACACGUGGGAAUCUGCCCUUUGGUUCGGAAUAACAGUUAGAAAUGACUGCUAAUACCGGAUAAUGACGUAAGUCCAAAGAUUUAUCGCCGAAGGAUGAGCCCGCGUAGGAUUAGGUAGUUGGUGGGGUAAUGGCCCACCAAGCCGACGAUCCUUAGCUGGUCUGAGAGGAUGAUCAGCCACACUGGGACUGAGACACGGCCCAGACUCCUACGGGAGGCAGCAGUGGGGAAUAUUGGACAAUGGGCGAAAGCCUGGUCCAGCAAUGCCGCGUGAGUGAUGAAGGCCUUAGGGUUGUAAAGCUCUUUUACCAGGGAUGAUAAUGACAGUACCUGGAGAAUAAGCUCCGGCUAACUCCGUGCCAGCAGCCGCGGUAAU